GACGUAGGAUGCAAGCGUUGUCCGGAUUUAUUGGGCGUAAAGAGUUCGUAGGUGGUUUGUUAAGUCUGGUGUUAAAGAUCGGGGCCCAACCCCGGGACAGCACUGGAUACUGGCAGACUGGAGUGCAGUAGAGGCAAGCGGAAUUCCAGGUGUAGCGGUGAAAUGCGUAGAUAUCUGGAAGAACACCGGUGGCGUAAGCGGCUUGCUGGGCUGUAACUGACACUGAGGAACGAAAGCCAGGGUAGCGAAUGGG
rnacentral:rRNA from 1 species